rnacentral:lncRNA from 1 species
GUCAGGGGGAAGACAGAGGGAGAUUUUUUAACACGGAACCACAAGGAAGGAGAGGCCCCCGGAGAGGACGGACGUCAGAGGCCAGAGGGCGGCUUCCUGGGGUGCUGUGAGAGACUUGUCACCUGCUGGGUGGGGCAGUCUCUGCUGGUGUCUCACGAGGUCUCGGGCUUGGCACCUGAGGCAUGCAAAGUCACGUUUGCCAUGGCGGGCACAAUAAUAGUGGCAAGAAUAAUAAUAUCGAUAACGCAUCCUGACCAUGUGUCUCUGUAGCCCUGUCACCUCCUCACCACCGUCCCAUAAGACGGGACCCUGCGAGGCAGACGCAGCCUGCACACAGAGGAGGGAGGGGAGGCUGCUGGGGCUCCGGCCUGUGCUUUCGCCUCCAGACCAUGGAGCUUCUUCACCCACAUGCUGGGUGCCGUCCAGCCUGAGGCCUGUGUGCAGGGUCCCGGUUUCAAGCCCCGAUUCCCACCUGCUAACUGUGACCCAGGAAGCCCCACCCCCCGCAGCCCUCAGUUUCUUCACCUGCCAAACUCCCUGCCUUCGAGGUGAGAGAUUACGUAAGUAAGACCCUGCGGAAGCCUGUGGUCCUGGAGAGCCUGAGAGCCCUCAGAGCGAUACCUUCAGCUAUCCCAGGAGAAGGACACUCUUCGCUUUCAGCACCAGGGGAAAACUAGGAAAAAGCCAAGCCACUGAGUCAAUGAGGGCCUUCCCUCAGCUGCAGACAGCAAGCCCCUUCCAGGCGCUUCCCCGCAGCUACGGCAGCAAGUGCCCCAGGGGCAGGGCCGGGAAUGCUCACUGAGAAAUCCCAGAGCUGCCUGCACUUCCUCUCACCGGCUUCCCCUUCUCUCAGCAGCCACAGGCACGGGAAAGCUGCUGAUUCCCGGAGGACCACUUACACCAAGCACUGUGAGCUGAUCGAUGGCAGAGUCUCUCCAGCUCAUGAGUCUUCAGUGACUCCCCAUUGUCCAUGGAAAACAGAAGACACCUGAGGCCUUGCACAGUGGACCUUAUUCUCAUCCCUCCCUCAGGAGAAUCCUCUGCCUCGAGCCGAAGGCCGUGGGCUCUGCAGACUCCAGGCCUCUCCUUCCCAGGGCGGUCUUCCCUUUCCCUAUGCUCAAGGCACAGCCCAAGUCCCACCUCCUCCAUUGCAAGGGACACCACCCUCUGAAUUCCUGUUGGGGAAAGAGCCUAGUUUUGCAGCCAGAUAGGCCCGAGUUAGAGUCUCAGCUCAGUUCCAAUCCCAUUAGCUGGUUGCAAGUCAUUAACUUUGUCAACCUUCAGUAAAUGGAAAUCAGGCCCACACUGUAGGUGCCUGGGGGUGCUGAUGGUUGAGUGGAAUCUGUUCUUUUGACCUUCCCAGCAUCUUUCCCCUUCCCAGCAUCCUUUCCCCUUUCUUUUGGUGAUGUCGCCUGGAUUUUCUGUUGGGUAUGUGGUCCAGGGGUGGCUGACCUCACUUCCUGGUUCCAGCAUAAGAUCAUGACUGAGAGCUGGCCAAUGAGAAUAUUCCCUCGCCCCAGCCACAGAGUCAGAUUCCCGGGGAUGAACUUGUGAGUCAAAACAGGCUGGUGGGAACACACUUGGGGUGUUAGCUGGAGUUAUUGAAGCUUUCUUUCCCACUGGAGUCACUAGGUAGAUAGAAGGAAAGCUGAAGCCUUUAGCCACUGCUGUGGGUUGAAGUGUGUACCCCAAAAAGAUAUGUUCAAAUUCUAAUCCCCUGCACCUUUGGAGGUGGCCUUGUUUGGAAAAAGGGUCUUUGCAGAUGUAGGCAAGUGAAGAUGAAGCCAUCCUGGAUCAGGGUGGCUUGUGGCUUGUGUCCAAUGCCUUGUGUCCUUCUAAGAAGAGAGAAAUCGAGACACAGACACACACAGGGAAAAGGCCGAGUGAUGACAGCAGCAGAGAUGGGAGCGCGGCAGCUACAAGCUGAGGGAUGCCAAGCAUGGCUGGCACCACCCAGGAGCCUGGAGAGAGGGAGGGGACAGCCUCCUCCUUAGAGCCUCGAAACACCCUACCCACAUCCUGGCUUCAGACUUCCAGCCUGCACAACUGGGAGAGAAUCACUUUCUGCUGUGUUAAGCUACACUAGUUCAUGGUGAUUUGUUACAGCAGCUGCAGGAAAUGAACACAGACACCAAAUGGAGAUACUGUGUCUGAGAUUGAAGCCAGCACCGUGGAAUCAGAGCUGCCAGGAGGGAGACGUGGACUCUCGACCCUGUGGCCACACUUGGUUCCCCCAGCAGCUGAAGCACGAAGUCUACUGGACUUACUAGACUUUCCAGUUACCUGGACCAAUAUAUUCUCUGUUUUACUUAAGCUGUUUCGAUUGGAUUUCUGGCUAUUUCAACUGAGAGAGGCCUAACUCUCAGUUAUACAGAGACAAUGGAUGUAAAAUGCAUUGAAGGCCAGGCACAGUGGCUCGCGCCUGUAAUCCCAACACUUUGGAAAGCCAAGGCAGGAGGAUGGCUUGAGCCCAGGAGUACGAGACCAGCCUGGGAGACGUGGCAAAACGAAACCCCGUUUCUACAAAAAAAUACAUUAAACCAUUUUAAAAAGAAAAUAUAAAAUGUAUUGCAUGCUGCCUGGCCAAUGGGAGACAGUGGAGUGAAUGUAGGAAGUAGUUAGUAGAGUAAAUGGUAUUUAUU